AAAAACUCAAAAUGCUGUCAUCAGACGCUGUCAUAAUUCUGAGAAAGUUGAAAUUGGGUCAAAAUUUAAAUAUUUUUUGUGAUAGUUAUGACUUUAUAAUUAUGACGUCAUAAUUCUAAUGUAAUAUAAGCUUCCAUAAGCUACUCCUCAACAAUGAUGAAAUAAUCUCUCUCUCUCUCUCUCUCUCUUUCUCUCUCUCUGUAACUCAGCAUCCGCUAACCUCCUGCUGGGGAAUUCUGGAGGAAAACAGAUGAAAAAACUGAAAACGGGAUAAAACAUAAAAGGAUUGUGCAUUAAGAGGCUCACAUGUCUGCUAAAAUUACACGAUUCCAGCUGCUGGUCUUUGCUUGAGUAUUCAACCCCUCAUGGACCUGGAGAGCUUUCAGUGAGGGACUGGGUUGUGAAGUCAGCGAGAACCUGAUGACUACUGGCUGGUGAAAAUAGAAAACAAAAGAACGAUCCAACGGCGGAAAGAGGGACGAUCCGGUUGGGAUCUUGGAAGCUGAUGCUGCAGCCAGGAGCAUCUGCAGGCUUAAUUGGGCGACUCAACCCGAGCAGCUGUGCACAGCCCACACGCAGAAGCUGAGAGGGACAGCCGAAACCGAGGAAAGACGCGUACGCCGAGCUGACAGGGCUGGCUGAUGUGGACGUACCACCUGUCAAGUUCUAGCCCUGGGACAAUAUCCCGGAUUUGACAGAAACAUCAAGCACCACCUAGUUAAGUGUUUUUCACACUCAAAACAAGCACUGCUUCAAAAAAGUUCAACGUUUUUGAUUUCCUUUUCACUCCGGCAUGCUCUAAAUAGUAUGAUUCCAGGAGGCAUUGAUUUUAGGCGUCUUAUGAUUGCAUAAUAUGACUAACACUAUAAAUGGCUAAGUUGACAAAAUGUUAAGCGACACUUAAAAAAAGUCACACUUAAAAAUGUAUGAAUGCCAUUGCAUUAUGACAAAAUAUAGGUAACAGUUUAUAAAGCCUUUAUGUAUAACGCGUUAUAAAGGGCCAUCAAAGGUUAUAAUGCAUUGUAAUUAUUCAUAAUGUGUGUUGUAAUACAUUAUAUCUUGUUGUAAACUUUAUAAAGCCUUUAUGUAUAACGCGUUAUAAAGGGGCAUCAAAGGUUAUAAUGCAUUGUAAUUAUUCAUAUGUAACAUCAAUUCAAUUGUAACUGUGGUUACAAUUAUUUAUAAGGUUGUACAGUGCAUUGUAAAAGUAAAACUACUUUAAUAAUGCAUUAUACAUAAAGGCUUUAAGUGUAGUGUUACCAAAAUAGCAAACUAGUAUUAUUUAUAAAUUAUCAUAGUAUUUCUAAUGUUAUUGUAUAGUAUAGUAUAUUGUUAUAUUGUUACACAUAAUGUUGUCACAUCUUCCUACUUAAAUAAAU
ensembl:lncRNA